rnacentral:pre_miRNA from 1 species
CAUCUCAUCAACUUGGCUGUGAAUUCUUUUUUUUAUUUCAAGAUAUCACAGCCACUUUGAUGAGCUUGG